GGGGAUGUAGCUCACAUGGUAGAGCGCUUCUUUAGCAUGGAAGAGGUACGGGGAUCGAUACCCCGCAUCUCCA
rfam:Naegleria gruberi genomic scaffold NAEGRscaffold_22, whole genome shotgun sequence.